AAUUUUUAUUUUACCAAGGAGCAAAACUGAGUAAGUUUCCUGACGAAAAUAAUGAGUGUCUACUGUUCUAGGGCCUUUAACAACAACAACAACAAAUUUACAUUAACGCACAUUAUGUGCCAGGAAUUGCAAGAUGCAUAAGAUUAGUUUUUAAAAUGUGCCUGCUAGAGCUGAACAGGGAGGACGGAGAACAGACGGCUCCUCCGGCAGACGCGACCCGGCCCGCUCCAAACAACGCUUCGGGCAGGAGAAGAUCCACCCGCUUAUCUGCCGCCGCCGUAGCCCUUACCAGUUCUUUGGGCGGCUUCUCCUGGGUCUUUCCAAACAGCCCCAUGACGAACUGAACCCGUCUUGCCCCUUCCGGCUUUCAGUUCCCCGCGCCCAGAUGUUGCACCAGAAGUCUGGAUCUCCACGCAGACGUGUACACUUAGCAUCACUUUCCCGACAGCUUCAUCUUUGUGUCCAGUAGGCAACUCACAGGCCAUCGCCCUUUCCAGCGUGGGCGAUUCCUGCCUAGCAUUUGUCCAUGUGUGUCCCGUCCUACACGCCACACUGACCGUGAGCUUAAUCACACUCUCAAAGGAAUCUGACUAAAGAGAACUAGACACAUUUUAGCACGGACAGUUCCUGAUUAGGCCUAUACGAGACUAUACGUAACAUGGACCUGGAAAAGCUUAAAAAUAUGAAGAGGAUUGAACUGGCUGCCAUCUGUGCAUCUUCAUUUAUGAAAACACUCCUCAUAGACUUAAAACAAAUGACAGAGAACAAAUUAGUCAGCUUCUUCUAAAAUACAGUGGUCUCCCCUUACCCUCAGUUUCACUUUCUGCAGUCAACUGCAGUCCGAAAAUACUACAUACAAUUAGAUAUUCGGAGAGAGAGACACCACAUUUACAUAAAUGUUAUUUCAGUAUACUGUUAUAAUUGUUCUAUUUUUAUUAGUUGUUGUUGUUACUGUGCCUAACUUACACAUUAAACUUUAUCACAGGUAUGUAUGUAUAGGAAAAAACAUAGACUAUAUAGGAUUUGGUACUAUCCACGGUUUCAGGCAUCCACUGGGGGUCUUGGAACGCAUCCCCCUCAGAUAAGGGGGGACUACUGUAAACAGAAAAUAACAACAAUUCAAAUUGUUAAAAACAAUUCUUGAAAGUUAUCCUUUACAAUAGAUUAAUAUAUAUGAUCUGAGCUGAAAGAAUGGCAAGCAAUGGAGACAAUAUUUCUCUUCUGUUUCUAGUAGAUAUUUUCAAUUUUAAGCAUAGUUUUAAAAAGUACAACCCUCUUUUAAGGGCUUAAACCAAGGUGGCUGUGCUGAUUGGCUUAGCUGGCUAGUUCACAGUGCCAAGGACAGGGUUUCAAUCUCAUUCUUCUCAGUUGUCCUGCCAGAGAUUGUUCUUUCAGACCAGGCCAGCCAUUUGACAGAUGUAAGCCACUGGCCUCAAGGAACACAAGCCAGACAGUGGUGGUCAAUGCAAACCUUGAGCAUCACUGGAAAAAUUAAGCAGGUGUCCUACUGCAUUAUUUCCAUACAUAGAAAAACCACAGAAAUACAUUCUAUUUUUAAAGAGUUGUUUUUCAACUAUUAAUACCUAUAAGGUUUAAAAAUAUUUUCAGAGAAAAAAAAUUUAGCAACUAGAAUUUAUAAUGCUACCAUUUACUAUCAUUAUUUGUCCUUCACUUCAUUUGUCACCUUACCAGAGAAUUCCUUGCCACUCUCAUCUCCUUAAUCUGCUUAUUUUUCUUCUUACUACUUUCCACUAACUGAUGUUAUAUUAAAUAUUUAUUUAUUUGGUGUCUGCCUCUCCCAACUAGAAUGUGAGCUGCCUGACAGAGCAAGGCCUUAGCUUGGUGUGUGUUUCUGGUAUAUCUUCAGGGCCCAGAACAGGGCCUGGCACACCCACAACUGAAUAAACUUUUGAUGAAUUCUGUCACAUAUUUAUUACAGGAGCUUAAUUCAUGGAUAUCUUUAACAGGACAUCAAAAACAGUAGAUCAUUUACAAGCCAAGAACAUACUGCUAACUAUUGAACCAGAAUGUAUUUGUUGUCUAUAGGCAGCAGCCUAUAUAGCAAAAGAACUCAAGACUUUUGACAUAGCCCUUCCAAGUUUCAAAGGUGUGCAACAUCUUCACCAUUUAUUUCCAUGGGAUCAUUCAAUGUGGGUGACAUUUAGACACUGAAAGCAGGGCAGUGGGACUGGCUAUUCAAUUCAUCCUCAGUAAUAAAAUCUAAAAUUAUCAAAA
rnacentral:lncRNA from 1 species